rnacentral:rRNA from 1 species
UACGUAGGUGGCAAGCGUUACUCGGAAUUACUAGGCGUAAAGCGCAGGUAGGCGGUUUGGCAAGUCUCCAAUGAAAUCUCCCGGCUUAACUGGGAGGGGUUUGGGGAUACUGCCAGGCUCGAGUGUGGUAGAGGUAACUGGAAUUCCCGGUGUAGCGGUGAAAUGCGUAGAGAUCGGGAGGAACACCUAUGGCGAAAGCAGGUUACUGGACCAAUACUGACGCUGAGCUGCGAAAGCUAGGGGAGCAAACAGG